rnacentral:rRNA from 1 species
CCCAUUGAUCGGGCGAAAGGGAAUCCGGUUCCUAUUCCGGAACCCGGCAGCGGAACCGUUGUUUGUCGGGCCCUCCCAAGGGGUUCGUCAGGGCAACCUAAAAGGGCCCGGAGACGCNGUCGGGNGCCCCGGAAAGAGUUUUCUUUUCUGCAUGAGCGUUCGAGUUCCCUGGAAUCCUCUCGCAGGGAGAUANNGUUUGGAACGCGAAGAGCACNGCAGUUGCGACGGUGCACGGGAAUUCCCGACGNNCCUUGAAAAUCCGGGAGAGGGCCACGUGGAGGUGUCGCGCCGGCUCGUACCCAUAUCNGCAGCAGGUCUCCAAGGAGAAGAGCCUCUAGUC